rnacentral:misc_RNA from 1 species
ACAGAGGAAUUUCGAACGAAGCAAGAAGUUAAAUAUACAUAGUCAUUGUACCCUUCGAUGAAGAUGAUAAAGACAAAACAGUCUGGUUUUUGGAUCAUGACUACCUAGAGAGCAUGUAUAGCAUGUUCAAGAAAGUUAAUGCUCGUGAGCGAAUUGUGGGAUGGUAUCACACAGGCCCCAAGCUUCACCAAAAUGAUGUUGCUAUCAAUGAACUCCUCAGGAAAUAUUGUCCAAACUCUGUUUUGGUGGUCAUCGAUGCAAAACCAAAAGACCUUGGACUGCCCACAGAAGCCUACAUAGCAGUGGAAGAAGUGCAUGAUGAUGGCACACCCACCACAAAAACUUUUGACCAUGUCCCCAGCGAGAUCGGAGCAGAAGAGGCUGAGGAGGUUGGAGUGGAACAUCUAUUGAGGGACAUUAAGGAUACAACAGUAGGAUCUCUCUCACAGCGGAUCACAAACCAGCUGAUGGGUCUGAAAGGUCUCCACGCCCACGUCAACGACAUCAACAGCUAUCUACAGAAAGUGACGUCUAAACAGCUCCCUGUCAACCACCAGAUCAUCUAUCAACUGCAAGACGUGUUCAACCUCCUCCCCGACGUUAACCUCCAGGACUUUGUGAAAUCAGUGUACGUGAAAACCAAUGAUCAAAUGCUGGUUGUGUACUUGGCUUCUCUUAUUCGAUCGAUCAUCGCACUACAUAAUCUCAUCAGUAAUAAGAUUCAGAAUCGGGACGCAGAGAAAAACGAGGGUAAAGACGUAGUGAAGGAAAAGAAGAAAGAGACAAAGGAAGCAGAAAAGAAAGACGGAGAGAAGGAAUCUGAUAAAAAAGAGACAGCGAAAACUGCUAAGAAAUAGAAGACAGUGAUUUCGAACGCAAAUUAAACAUUACACUACAAACUGUGAAAUUUGAAUCUUAAGAUUCCCAAAAACAAAGAACUUGAGAUUUAGCUAAUAUUUUCAAUUUGUUAUUGGAGACCCUUAAAAUUUGCUCUCCAAUAGAAAGUUGAGGCAUAUGCUAUAACCCCUGCACUUGCAUCUGAUUAAAUUUUUGAAGCAG